GUCACCAAAUGCUCGGACUAGUGACGUAUUCUUAGUUACCCACAACUAUCAGGCCGCAAACUAUUUCUUGCUCAUAAAUACUCGGGUUAUUAUUAUUACUAUUAUUAUUACUAUUAUUUGUUUUACUAUUUUGUGAAGAAACAAACACAUCUGCUUGCAACGAUAACACUUAAAACAUCUGCGGUUCUGUGUGUCAACGAAGGAAACGGAAAGAAAGAAACAUUGCAGGUAUGACGUCACCAAAGAUGCGUCUCAUUUUUGCAGUAAUUGCAAUGGCUUUUCUCAACCAAUGUAGAGCAGGGGUGCUACAGAGUUUCCGCCAGAAAAAAAAAAAUAUGGGGGGAUCAGACAGGCGGAGGGGCGAAGCCCCCGACCGCGCGCGUCAUGAGCCCUCCCCCAGAAAAAAAAUGGAUUUUAGAUGCCAGAAGAUGCGAUUUCCUAGCAUCUCGGAACACAAUCUGGGAGCCAAAACUGUCGGCAAAAUUGAUCUAUUCUGAUGCACUAACCGUGAAAAUCGUCACAAAUGGACAAAAAUAAAUCAUGUAUUCCAUCUUAUAACUUUUAUUCCGAUAAUUUAUACAUUUAAAAAUGUCCUCUCGUCGGCGUUAUCAUUUGACAGCGCAUGCGCCAGCAGCCAUAAUAUAUAGCCGAUGAUUUCAGGUGGUAGAGAAGUAAAUAAUAAUACACUGUUGACUAUAUUAACAUAAAAGCAAACAGUUGUUGUCAACAUAUGCAGGUGUAAUUAUUGUCAAAAAUUAAAUUUCUUACUCA